AGUCACUUUGCAUCAGCACAUGCUUCAGCGCUCCGAGUGUUUAUAGCGUUCAGACUCAACACUUUAUAACACACUGCUGUUUACCACGGUACAAAACCAACAAACACAAUGAAUCUCUUCAGCAGCUUCAUCUGGAUUCUGGCAGCUUUUAUUCCAGCAGCAUCCAGAGGAAUCACUGUGACUCAGCCUGAAGCUGUGACUGUUUCUGAACGACAAGACGCCACUAUAGAGUGUAAAACUGAUCCUGGAAUAACUAGCUGGGGUUUAGCUUGGUAUCAGCAGAAACCUGGAGAAGCUCCUAAACUCAUCAUUACUGGAGUAACCGAUCGCUACAGUAACAGUUUCAGUCGAUUCAGUGGGAAUGGAGCACGAGGUGGGACUGAUUUCACUCUGACCAUCAGUGGAGUCCAGACUGAAGAUGUUGCACAUUAUUACUGUCAGAGUGUACAUGAAAUCAACAGUGACUAUGUGUUCACACAGUGAUAAAGCGUGGUACAAAAACCUGUGUCAGUCAGAGUCACAGUGACUGAACUGAUGCUGCAGCUGCUCAAACACUAUCACUCACUCAACAGGGAAAAAACAUAUUAAUAUCAUCUUACAAUAAACAUCAGUUUUGUUGAGCUACAACAUUUAUUUUUGAUUAUGAUUUUUCUGAAGUUAUUUUUGUCUCCUGAUAUUUUCAGUCCUUCAUGUAGAAAUCCAUCCACUUUUGCUCUUCAGUGGAUAUUUUUCCAUCCUUCACUAUAUUUAUGAGUUUCUUCAUUUACGAUUUAUCCUCAAUCUUUCUAAACUGCAUCAUCAACAUCAUAAACAUGUUCUGCUUCAUCAGUUUAAUAAGUCCAUCAUUGAUUAUUAUUAUGAUUUAAGUUCAUGCUUCAUAAUGCAAAUAUUAUCAGCAUCAUAUAAACAUGUUUCUCAAUUUCA